UACGGGGGGUGCAAGCGUUAAUCGGAAUUACUGGGCGUAAAGGGUGCGUAGGUGGUUUAAUAAGUUAGCUGUGAAAGCCCUGGGCUCAACCCGGGAAUGUCAGUUAAGACUGUUGGACUCGAGUAUAGGAGAGGGUAGUGGAAUUUCCGGUGUAGCGGUGAAAUGCGUAGAGAUCUGGAGGAAUACCGGUGGCGAAGGCGGCAUCCUGGACCGGCAUUGACGCUGAGGAGCGAAAGCUAGGGGAGCAAACGGG
rnacentral:rRNA from 1 species